UAAAGGCCUACCAUGGCGACGAUCUGUAGCUGGUCUGAGAGGAUGAUCAGCCACACCGGGACUGAGACACGGCCCGGACUCCUACGGGAGGCAGCAGUGGGGAAUAUUGGACAAUGGGGGAAACCCUGAUCCAGCCAUGCCGCGUGUGUGAAGAAGGCCUUUUGGUUGUAAAGCACUUUAAGCAGUGAAGAAGACUCCGUGGUUAAUACCCACGGACGAUGACAUUAGCUGCAGAAUAAGCACCGGCUAACUCUGUGCCAGCAGCCGCGGUAAUACAGAGGGUGCAAGCGUUAAUCGGAAUUACUGGGCGUAAAGGGAGCGUAGGUGGCUCUAUAAGUCAGAUGUGAAAUCCCCGGGCUCAACCUGGGAACUGCAUCUGAAACUGUAGAGCUAGAGUAUGUGAGAGGAAGGUAGAAUUCCUGGUGUAGCGGUGAAAUGCGUAGAGAUCUGGAGGAAUACCGAUGGCGAAGGCAGCCUUCUGGCAUAAUACUGACACUGAGGCUCGAAAGCGUGGGUAGCAAACAGGAUUAGAUACCCUGGUAGUCCACGCCGUAAACGAUGUCUACUAGUCGUUGGGUCCCUUGAGGACUUAGUGACGCAGCUAACGCAAUAAGUAGACCGCCUGGGGAGUACGGCCGUAAGGUUAAAACUCAAAUGAAUUGACGGGGGCCCGCACAAGCGGUGGAGCAUGUGGUUUAUUUCGAUGCAACGCGAAGAACCUUACCUGGUC
rnacentral:rRNA from 1 species